GCAUAUCCCACCAUCAGUAGAUAAAGCUCAUUUUCCAGGGAAGGAAACACCUGAGCUGACCUUAUCCUCCAGGACUCCUGGUGCUUGGGAGGCUGAAGUUCUCAGUAGAUGAGGAGUGGCUACCUAUAAAUAGCCUGUGAACCCCACCUCUCCACAGUUUUGAAAAUAGGUAAAUGCUUCACUGCAGUGACCCCUUCCCAAGAAAGGCUGGAGUGAGAUAGUGAAAUUGCUCCUGGAGCAGCAAUUCUAUUAUUUUAGAUCUGAAGUGACCUUUGGCAUCCUCUCUUUUACUCCCCCCGAGUAUCACUGUUAGGACUGAAUCUCAAGACAGUGGUGAACCCUGGAGUUGCAGAGCUGUGAUUCAAUUAGCCGUGGCUCCAGUGAAUUAGUGGAUAGAAGAAAAGAUUAAUCAAGCUAUGCUUGCAACAUGGACAAACUAUUUUGUGAGAAGCUGUGUCACUACUCUAACCCACGACUUAGCCACCUCGCUGGUGUGAGCCUUUGUGAAUGUUUGAAAGGCUUGCGUGGAAGCCCCACUAUUCAGCAUUUACAGAUUUGUAGUGACUUAGGAUCCGCCCCGUUCAUCUUGCAUCUCCUGAGCAAGUAUACUUGCUGUGAACAGAAGGUGUGUACAUCAGCUGGCCAAGAGACAGCUGGGGAGACUGGCUCACCUCCCUGGCUGUGGGGUCAGCUUCUGGCCAGCGCUGAAACUACACUCAGAUCUCACUUCUAG
rnacentral:lncRNA from 1 species